UACAGAGGGGCCAGCGUUAUUCGGAAUUAUUGGGCGUAAAGAGCGUGUAGGCGGCCUGACAGGUCUGCUGUGAAAACUCGAGGCUCAACCUCGAGAUGUCGGCGGAAACCGUCUGGCUAGAGUCCGGAAGAGGAGAGUGGAAUUCCUGGUGUAGCGGUGAAAUGCGCAGAUAUCAGGAAGAACACCUAUGGCGAAGGCAGCUCUCUGGGACGGUACUGACGCUGAGGAGCGAAAGCGUGGGGAGCGAACAGG
rnacentral:rRNA from 1 species